rnacentral:tRNA from 1 species
GGCAGGGUGACCGAGUGGCCAGGUCACGGUGUGCAAAACCGUGCAGGUUGGUUCGAUUCCAGCACCUGCCUCCA